GAAGGGGAGAGCCCAGAGGAGCAGCUGGAGGCGAGGCCAGCACGGGGCCAGGAAGCUGGGAGACAGAGCUGUAACCUGUUGGGCUCAGACCUUCAGGCAGUUCCCACAGGAAGCAGGAGUGUAACACUGAGGGAUGCUGAGCAAUGGAGACAGGAAGAAGUCCAUCUGUCCCUGCAAGAACCAAGGACUCUUGUGCCAGCAAGGACCCCAGGACCCCUGCUUCCAUAAAGCAAAGGAAGGCUAGGGUGACAAGGCGGGAAGGAGAGACUCGGGAGAGUUACCGUGUGUAGGGGCGGACUGAGCACCAAGACAGAGGAGGAAGAUUGGAGAGGAUCGGGUGGGCACAAGCGCAUGGCCACCCACCCUCCAGUGCAUACUUGGCACGCAGUGUCCACAUGCAACUGCUGGCCUGCACAAAGCCCAUGAAUCCAAAGCUGCAUGGGCUACACAUGGGAGGCACACACACACACACACACACACACACACACACACAUACACACACACACACCUCCCUACC
rnacentral:sRNA from 1 species